rnacentral:lncRNA from 1 species
AUGGCACCGGAUCCCAGGAUCUAUUUAAACCUGUCUUCCCACCUUUAGGCGUCCUACUCCGUUCCUGAGUUCUCACCAGCGUCUGUCUUUUCUUCGAGAGCCCUGCUUCAGUGAGCGUCUUCUCGAGCCGUAGGCGUCUCCCAUCCCUCAGGUCCCUCAGAGUGAUAUAGGUUAGUGCCAACCUUCUUCUCAUCACCUAGGGAUUUCAUUUCUGCCAUUAUUCUUCUUGCAUCCCUCCGAGUUAGUCUGUGGUCUCUCGUUCCCCUUUCGGUCCGUCUUCUUAGG